rnacentral:lncRNA from 1 species
AAUGCAAGAUGGCGGCGGCGUGGCGCUGAGAGGCGCGGCGGCCCCUGCAGGUAGUGGCGCGAGCCGGCUCCGCGACCAGCGGGCCCGGAGACUCUGGGCUGCGGGUGGGAACUGGAGCGCAGAGUCCGCGGCCGGCACGGGAAAGGAGAAGACAGACUGCUGCUUUGGACCUGUUGGUAAUGAUGGCCUGAGCUAAACAUCUAACUAGAAGGGAUACCCUUCCAUUUCAAAGAACAGAAUGCUAAGGAAGCUGUGGCAAGCCAGGCACGGUGGCUCAUGCCUGUAAUCCCAGCACUUUUGGAGGCCAAAGCGGACAGAUCACCUGAGGUCAGGAGUUCGAGUCCAGCCUGGCCAACGUGGUGAAACCCCAUCUCUACUAAAACUACAAAAAUUAGCCAGGCGUGGUGGCAAGCGCCUGUAAUCCCAGCUACUCAGGAGGCUAAGGUGAUUGGAGUUGUGCUUCAAAAAUUUCAGAAAUUCAGCAGUAUUUUAUCUG